UCCCUGGUGGCUCAGACGGUAAAGAAUCCGCCUGCAAUGCGGGAGACCUGUGUUAGAUCUCAGCUAGGAAG
rnacentral:tRNA from 1 species